rnacentral:tRNA from 1 species
GCCCACUUAACUCAGAUGGCAGAGUAUCUGAUUUGUAAUCAGAAAGUCACAGGUUCGAACCCUGUAGUUGGCA